AUUCCUACGGGAGGCAGCAGUGAGGAAUCUUGCGCAAUGGACGAAAGUCUGACGCAGCCACGCCGCGUGCAGGACGAAGGCCCUAUGGGUCGUAAACUGCUUUUGUCAGGGAAGAAACCACGGGAUUUGUCCCGUGCUGACGGUACCUGACGAAUAAGCACCGGCUAACUCCGUGCCAGCAGCCGCGGUAAUAAU
rnacentral:rRNA from 1 species